AUGGUCCCUUUCCAGUUCACCCCCGACGCCCCUCUCCUCCCGUCCAGGGAGGGUCCCCCAGAUGGGGUGGGCGGUCCGGGUCGACCAGAGGCUCUUUGGCCUGUAGAGGGGCCGCUUUUCCCGGCCUCCUCCUCGCCCCAAGAAGCCAACUCCAUCCUGGGGCUGUGGGCCCGGCCGGUCCCCAGGGUGGGGGGCUCAAGUAGCCAGCCCCACUCCCACCCGGUUGUCCCGGGGUGGGAUGGGGGACACGCCUGCCCCGGGGGGGUCGGACCCACGCAGGACGCGGGGGUCGCCGUGUCCCCUCCCACCGGCCACCCCGCGUUAAGGGAAACUGGCGCUGUAGCCGUGGCCUCGCCCAUCCCCGCCGUGACCUUGUCAAUCACCCCGUGGCCCCGCCCCCUCCGCCGCCAGAUCCCGGCCCCGCCCCCUAGCGGCCAGUCGGGUAAUUGGCUGUCGGUCGCCCCGCCCCUCCCGCUCCUGGCCACGCCCCUUUUGGCCACGCCCCCAGGGCCCGGCCGGCGCAGGGAAGCGGGACGCCGCCUUGCGGCCGCACGGUGCACUGCCUGUAUUGGCGCCCUCCGCCGAUCCUCGAACCUCGAACCUCGGCCCCCCCGCUCCCCCCCCCCCCCCGGGCCGCGGGCUCACGGCAGGUCGCUCUCGAUGUACGGGAUGUCCCCGUACUUGCCGUCGGCCGCGGCCCACUGCUUGACGGCCUCGUCCAGGAUCUCCUGCGAUAGGCGGUGUGCGAAGUGCAGCAGGACGACGCUGGAGGCCGAGCCGGAGGCGGCGGGGGCGGCGGCGGCGGCGGAGGCGGCGGAGGCGGAGGCGGUCCGGGCGGCCGGGAGGAAGGACGUGUCGGACGGGCUGUCCCGCACCAGGCCGUCCCGCACCAGGCCGUCCCGCACCAGGCUCUCGUCGCUGUCUCUCCGCUCGCCGGGCAGCGAGUCUGGGAGCGGGAACGGGUGCUUCGACUUGAUGCAGCCCAUGGCCCUGGGGGAGGACGAGCGGCACCUUAGUUCAACCCUCCACGGCUCACCCUGCACUGCGCCGACCGUCCCAACACCCCCCUGA
rnacentral:lncRNA from 1 species